UGCUGGAGAACUAUCGGAAUGUGACCUUUCUGGAAACAAGAAGUAUAAGAGAGACUACAGUGGAAACAGACAAUGGCCUUGAAUCCAAAGAAAGGCUGGAGAGUUCCUCAAGAGGAUCCCAAGAGCAUAUUUCCUUCCCAACAGAGAAUAAUCAGAGGGAUGAGGAGGGUGAGGAACUUCAUCCGCAAAUGCCAGACAGACUUAAAAAGGAAGACCUGAAAGAAAACAUCGGGAAACGAGGCAGACCUAAGAGAAACAAAGGUGGCCAGAUGACUGAGAAGAGAGAUGAAAGAAAGAGUAAUGUACAUUUUCGAAAGUACAGGAUAAUGAAGGCAAGUAAAUCCACUAUUCGUGGAAAGUAUUUUAGAAAGAGAUCACAGGUCCUUGUGCACCAAAGAAUACAGAGAGGCGAAAAGAGAUGUAUUAAGAGUGGCCAUCUUCAGA